AAGGGGAUGGCUCAGUGGUAGAGCACAUGCUUAGCAUGCUCGGGGGCCUGGGUUCAAUCCCCAGUGCCUCUG
rnacentral:tRNA from 1 species